rnacentral:rRNA from 1 species
UACGUAGGUGGCAAGCGUUGUCCGGAUUUAUUGGGUUUAAAGGGUGCGUAGGCGGUCCCAUAAGUCAGUGCUGAAAUAUCCCGGCUUAACCGGGAGGGUGGCAUUGAUACUGUGGGACUUGAGUAAAGUUGAGGUUGGCGGAAUUGACGGUGUAGCGGUGAAAUGCUUAGAUAUCGUCAAGAACACCUAUUGCGAAGGCAGCUAACUAAGCUUUAACUGACGCUGAGGCACGAAAGUGUGGGGAGCAAACGGG